GCGUGGGUUUGGAUUUGUGGCAGGUACGAUCCCAUGGGCCUCUCAAAGUAUCCUAGGCCAAAGCAAACUCUGACCCUGAACCAUUGCCUGGCUUUACCCGGUGGGCUUAAGGCACUGAAGUGGGUUGCACAGUG